rnacentral:rRNA from 1 species
GCUUACGGCCACACCGGCCUGAGUACGCCUGAUCUCGUCCGAUCUCGGAAGCUAAGCAGGGUCGGGCCUGGUUAGUACCUGGAUGGGAGACCGCCUGGGAAUACCAGGUGCUGUAAGCU